CAUCAAAGUUGAAAACGCUUAGGCAAGUCCACAGUGCAGCAACGCCGUUAACAGACAAGUCAUUACCGUUACAAUUAGGUAAAUAUGACGAACCGAUACACAGAAGGUGAGCAAAGUUUGAUUUUGAAGUUGAUUCAGUACUUCCAAGGGGAAAAAGAAGCAGGCAAAACUUGAACACCCGUAAGCGCAGUAUAUGAUAGGGUUUGUGCUGCCCUGGGUGUAUUGUUGUGGACUGUAAAAAGAAUUAGUACAAGAGGUGUUAAAAAA